rnacentral:lncRNA from 1 species
GCAACUUUUGAAAAGUUUUUACAAAACUUGUCGAAAGUUGGGGGGCAAAUGAUAUGGGUCAGAAGUGAUAUUUAAUUAUUGUUAGAUAUUAAAAGCCCAAGAACACUAAAGCCCAGUUAAAAAGGGGCCUGAGUCUCUAUUUAUUAGAUAAUUUCGUGAUUAAUUAAUAAAGGCCCAGUCAGAGGACCAGUAACAAGUCUGAAUUCUAUGAUACAUCUGACUCUAGCAGAUAAAUAUUCAGAAGUUCGGAUAAACGUCAACAACAAGAGAAUAAGAGUUCUAUCUUAUCUCUUGCUUCGAGGCAUACUUCGAUAAGAAGUCUGAUACACGGAAUCAUACUUCCGUCCCACUUCUAACUCCGAAGCGCCUAUAUAAAGGGCUCUACCCCUCA